GAUUCCUUGGUACGGCGAGUGACCAGGGAAGAGCCCAGCACCGAAGACUGUGGCCAGUUGGCUACUAUUCAAUGUGGUGUUUAGGUUGUUCCGGCGGAGUCGCUGCUCCACCCUAAGUCCAUGAAUGAGUAUGGUAAAUGGACAUGGCCCACAGAGGGUGACAGGCCCGUGGGGGUGGAGAUCAGACAGGCCAGUGACGCCCUGGAUAGACCUUGGAGUCGGGUUGUUUGUGAUUGCACCCCAAAGUGGGUGGUAAACUCCAUCUAAGGCUAAAUACUAGCACGAGUCCGAUAGCAAACAAGUACCGUGAGGGAAAGUUGAAAAGUACUUUGAAGAGAGAGUAAACAGUGCGUGAAACCGAUCAGAGGUAAGCGGGUGGAGUUGAACUGCAAGCUCUGAAAAUUCAGCUGGUGAGUGUGGUUUGAGCUUGGUCAAGUCAGUUGGACUCUGUGGUCCGCGAGGCACUUAGCAAGUGUUGUGGUCCAUGGAUGUUCUUCGGGCUGACUCGCCGGUGCACUUUCUCAGAGUGGUCACCACGACCGGCAUGGCUGUCUGGCUGGUGGGGUUAAACCGGUUUUGCAAGGUCCUUGUGGCUCUGCUUGAUCGGGAUGGCAGGUAGCUCAUUGGCUUGCUUGCAGUUCGCUGUGAGCGUGGUCUUUGAGUGUAAUCAGCUGACCACAUCGGUUCUGUGCGGUAUGUCGGA
rnacentral:rRNA from 1 species